rnacentral:rRNA from 1 species
CAGUAGCCACGGUAAUACGAAGGGUGCAAGCGUUACUCGGAAUUACUGGGCGUAAAGCGUGCGUAGGUGGUGGUUUAAGUCCGUUGUGAAAGCCCUGGGCUCAACCUGGGAAUCGCAGUGGAUACUGGGUCACUAGAGUGUGGUAGAGGAUAGUGGAAUUUCCGGUGUAGCAGUGAAAUGCGUAGAGAUCGGAAGGAACAUCUGUGGCGAAGGCGACUAUCUGGGCCAACACUGACACUGAGGCACGAAAGCGUGGGGGGCAAACAGGAUUAGAUACCCCUGUAGUCCCUGUCUCUUAUAA